rnacentral:rRNA from 1 species
AUUGAACGCUGGCGGCAUGCCUUACACAUGCAAGUCGAACGGUAACGGGCCUUCGGGUGCCGACGAGUGGCGAACGGGUGAGUAAUGCAUCGGAACGUACCUUUCAGUGGGGGAUAACGUAGCGAAAGUUACGCUAAUACCGCAUAUUCUGUGAGCAGGAAAGCAGGGGAUCGCAAGACCUUGCGCUGAUUGAGCGGCCGAUGUCAGAUUAGCUAGUUGGUGAGGUAAAGGCUCACCAAGGCGACGAUCUGUAGCGGGUCUGAGAGGAUGAUCCGCCACACUGGAACUGAGACACGGUCCAGACUCCUACGGGAGGCAGCAGUGGGGAAUUUUGGACAAUGGGGGGCAACCCUGAUCCAGCCAUGCCGCGUGAGUGAAGAAGGCCUUCGGGUUGGUUAAAGGACUCUUUCGGUCCGGGAACGGAAAUACGCAUGGUUAAGUACCUGUGCGGAUGACGGUACCGGC